rnacentral:rRNA from 1 species
GACGAACGCUGGCGGCGUGCUUAACACAUGCCAGUCGAACGGAAAGGCCCUGCUUUUGUGGGGUGCUCGAGUGGCGAACGGGUGAGUAACACGUGAGUAACCUGCCCUUGACUUUGGGAUAACUUCAGGAAACUGGGGCUAAUACCGGAUAGGAGCUCCUGCUGCAUGGUGGGGGUUGGAAAGUUUCGGCGGUUGGGGAUGGACGCGCGGCUUAUCAGCUUGUUGGUGGGGUAGUGGCUUACCAAGGCUUUGACGGGUAGCCGGCCUGGGAGGGUGACCGGCCACAUUGGGACUGAGGUACGGCCCAGACUCCUACGGGGGGCAGCAGUGGGGAAUCUUGCACAACGGGCGGAAGCCUGAUGCAGCAACGCCGCGUGCGGGAUGACGGCCUUCGGGGUGUAAACCGCUUUCGCCUGUGACGAAGCGUGAGUGACGGUAAUGGGUAAAGAAGCACCGGCUAACUACGUG